rnacentral:rRNA from 1 species
GAUGAACGCUAGCGACAGGCCUAACACAUGCAAGUCGAGGGGCAGCACGGUGUAGCAAUACACGGGUGGCGACCGGCGCACGGGUGAGUAACGCGUAUGCAACCUGCCUACUACAAGGGGAUAACCCGUUGAAAGACGGACUAAUACCCUAUAACACAGGGGAUCCGCAUGGAUAUAUUUGUUAAAGAUUUAUCGGUAGUAGAUGGGCAUGCGUUCCAUUAGCUUGUUGGUGAGGUAACGGCUCACCAAGGCAACGAUGGAUAGGGGAACUGAGAGGUUGAUCCCCCACACUGGAACUGAGACACGGUCCAGACUCCUACGGGAGGCAGCAGUGAGGAAUAUUGGUCAAUGGACGAGAGUCUGAACCAGCCAAGUCGCGUGAAGGAAGACGGCCCUACGGGUUGUAAACUUCUUUUGUAAGGGAAUAAAUAGUCUUACGCGCUAAGACGUUGCAGGUACCUUACGAAUAAGGAUCGGCUAACUCCGUGCCAGCAGCCGCGGUAAUACGGAGGAUCCGAGCGUUAUCCGGAUUUAUUGGGUUUAAAGGGUGCGCAGGCGGCAUGUUAAGUCGGCGGUGAAAUUUUGCAGCUCAACUGUAAAAGAGCCUUCGAAACUGGCAAGCUUGAGUGUGGAUGAAGUAGGCGGAAUUUGUGGUGUAGCGGUGAAAUGCAUAGAUAUCACAAAGAACACCGAUUGCGCAGGCAGCUUACUAAACCAUAACUGACGCUCAUGCACGAAGGCGUGGGGAUCAAACA